CAGCCAACCCAUGGCGGCCUGGCAGGAAGGGAGCUGGGGGGAUAGAUACUCUAACCUCCUAUUUUCCCAUCCUCUAAUCUCCUGCUGCUGCCUCCCCUUGGCAGAACUCCUUUAGAAGGGAAGAGGGCAAAGGAACCUGCCUGCGGAUGCACCUCACACAAGUCAGCAGAACGGUGGAAGAACGGUGGAGCAGGGGUGGGUGGUGAUGAAGCACAACAUUCAUUACAGCUGGGAUGCAAGAUGACGGUUCUUAGGCACCAUCUGGGCUCAGGCCACAAGAGCUUCUGGGAGUGGUCUGGUAAUAGAUCAGACAACAAUUCCAGGCUAAUUUAUCCAAAUCAAGACCCUCAGUUGGAAAGGCAAAUUCAGUCUCUGGUUCCAGCAAAAUUGGCAUGUAUGUUGAGAGCAUCCAGUUCUGGAGAACUCCUGGCCAACAAGCUCAAGAUUAAUUUCUUAUUGUUCCUCCAAAAUGUUGUGUCUCCAAGAGAUUCCCCUCAACUAUUGUUAGUGGAGGCCUCUAGUCUUUAGUUUUGCCUAACUUUCCCAACUGGGGAUAAAUUUAAGAAAAGAGAAACAAAUAAUGCUGCAAAGAAUUUUCCUGUACAUGUUGUUGAGGGAGUUUUCCAGAGGUGAUGUUAAUAGAGCACAUGGACCAUUCUGCUUCUUUCCUGUUUCUCCACCUCAUCGUUACAGCACCUACCCUCCCCGUGCUGCAAGGCCUGUGUGUAGUGGGUAGCCAUCCCAGCAUUGGCCUGGAAGUUCCAACCCCCA